GAUGAACGCUGGCGGCGUGCCUAAUACAUGCAAGUCGAGCGAACGGACGAGAAGCUUGCUUCUCUGAUGUUAGCGGCGGACGGGUGAGUAACACGUGGAUGACCUACCUAUAAGACUGGGAUAACUUCGGGAAACCGGAGCUAAUACCGGAUAAUAUUUUGAACCGCAUGGUUCAAAAGUGAAAGACGGUCUUGCUGUCACUUAUAGAUGGAUCCGCGCUGCAUUAGCUAGUUGGUAAGGUAACGGCUUACCAAGGCAACGAUGUAUAGCCGACCUGAGAGGGUGAUCGGCCACACUGGAACUGAGACACGGCCCAGACUCCUACGGGAGGCAGCAGUAGGGAAUCUUCCGCAAUGGGCGAAAGCCUGACGGAGCAACGCCGCGUGAGUGAUGAAGGUCUUCGGAUCGUAAAACUCUGUUAUUAGGGAAGAACAUAUGUGUAAGUAACUGUGCACAUCUUGACGGUACCUAAUCAGAAAGCCACGGCUAACUACGUG
rnacentral:rRNA from 1 species